rnacentral:rRNA from 1 species
UGGGGAAUAUUGGACAAUGGGGGGAACCCUGAUCCAGCAAUGCCGCGUGUGUGAAGAAGGCCUGAGGGUUGUAAAGCUCUUUUACCAGGGAUGAUAAUGACAGUACCUGGAGAAUAAGCUCCGGCUAACUCCGUGCCAGCAGCCGCGGUAAUACGGAGGGAGCUAGCGUUGUUCGGAAUUACUGGGCGUAAAGCGUACGUAGGCGGUUAUUCAAGUCAGAGGUGAAAGCCUGGAGCUCAACUCCAGAACUGCCUUUGAAACUAGAUAGCUAGAAUCACGGAGAGGUGAGUGGAAUUCCGAGUGUAGAGGUGAAAUUCGUAGAUAUUCGGAAGAACACCAGUGGCGAAGGCGGCUCACUGGACGUGUAUUGACGCUGAGGUACGAAAGCGUGGGGAGCGAAACAGGAUUAGAUACCCACGUAGUCCCUGAG